rnacentral:rRNA from 1 species
GACGAACGCUGGCGGCGUGCCUAAUACAUGCAAGUCGAACGAGAGCGACCGGUGCUUGCACUGGUCAAUCUAGUGGCGAACGGGUGAGUAACACGUGGGUAACCUGCCCAUCAGAGGGGGAUAACAUCCGGAAACGGAUGCUAAAACCACAUAGGUCUUCGAGCCGCAUGGCUUGAAGAGGAAAAGAGGCGCAAGCUUCUGCUGAUGGAUGGACCCGCGGUGCAUUAGCUAGUUGGUGAGGUAACGGCUCACCAAGGCCGUGAUGCAUAGCCGACCUGAGAGGGUGAUCGGCCACAUUGGGACUGAGACACGGCCCAAACUCCUACGGGAGGCAGCAGUAGGGAAUCUUCCGCAAUGGACGCAAGUCUGACGGAGCAACGCCGCGUGAGUGAAGAAGGUUUUCGGAUCGUAAAACUCUGUUGUUAGAGAAGAACAAGUGCUAGAGUAACUGUUAGCGCCUUGACGGUAUCUAAACAGAAAGCCACGGCUAACUACGUG